rnacentral:rRNA from 1 species
UGAGUACGAGAUGCUACGGCAUCGAAGCAGUCUAUGUCAUACUUCCAAGAAAAGCUUGCACUGUCAUAAACAAAGAAUGCCUGUACCAUAACCGACACAGGUGGGUAGGUAGAGUAUACUAAGGGGCGCGAGAUAACUCUCUCUAAGGAACUCGGCAAAAUGACUCCGUAACUUCGGGAGAAGGAGUGCCUUAUUUCUAAGGUUGCAAUAACAAGAUCCAAGCAACUGUUUACCAAAAACACAGGUCUCCGCUAAGUCGUAAGACGAUGUAUGGGGGCUGACGCCUGCCCAGUGCCAGAAGGUUAAAGAAGUUGGUUAGCAUUAGCGAAGCUGAUAACUGAAGCCCUGGUGAACGGCGGCCGUAACAAUAACGGUCCUAAGGUAGCGAAAUUCCUUGUCGGGUAAGUUCCGACCCGCACGAAAGGCGUAAUGAUUUGGAUACUGUCUCGGAGAGGGGCUCGGUGAAAUAGACUUGUCUGUGAAGAUGCGGACUACCUGCACCUGGACAGAAAGACCCUAUGAAGCUUUACUGUAACUUGAGAUUGAAAUUGGACUUUAUUUGCGCAGUAUAGGUGGGAGGCGUUGAGAAUAAUCUUGCGGGAUUGUUGGAGCCAUCAGUGAGAUACCACUCUUGCAAUGUUAGAUUUCUAACUUUGUAUCAUUAUCUGGUCAAAGAACAGUUUCAGGCGGGCAGUUUGACUGGGGCGGUCGCCUCCCAAAGGGUAACGGAGGCGCACAAAGGUUUCCUCUGAACGGGUAGAAAUCGUAUCUAGAGUGUAAAGGCAUAAGGAAGCUUGACUGUGAGACCUACAAGUCGAGCAGGGACGAAAGUCGGUCUUAGUGAUCUGACGGUGCUGAGUAGAAAGGCCGUCACUCAACGGAUAAAAGUUACUCUAGGAUAACAGGCUGAUCUCCCCCAAGAGUUCACAUCGACGGGGAGGUUUGGCACCUCGAUGUCGGCUCAUCGCAUCCUGGGGCGGUAGUCCGUCCCAAGGGUUGGGCUGUUCGCCCAUGAAAGCGGUACGCGAGCUGGGUUCAGAACGUCGUGAGACAGUUCGGUCCAUAUCCGGUGUAGGCGUUAGAAUAUUGAGAGGAGCCUUCUCUAGUACGAGAGGACCGAGAAGGACAUACCUCUGGUGUACCAGUUAUCGUGCCAACGGUAAACGCUGGGUAGCUAUGUAUGGAGUGGAUAACCGCUGAAAGCAUCUAAGUGGGAAGCCCACCUCAAGAUAAGUAUUCUCAUC